CAACUGGACACUGUGAUGCAGGAUCCCUAAUGGACAACAAGUCGUCUUUCCUUUGCUUAAUGUAAUCACAAGAGUAAAGGCCUUUGCUCCCCAGAUGCAUUUUCAGAUCACUGAACACCAGCUCAAAAUAACCUUGUUCUGUUUCGUCCGAUGAGCCCGAGUACGGCAGAUGCUUCAAUUCUCAGAGCAGCAGCAGCAUCACAAUCCUGGAU